rnacentral:rRNA from 1 species
UGGGGAAUUUUGGACAAUGGGCGAAAGCCUGAUCCAGCAAUGCCGCGUGUGUGAAGAAGGCCUUCGGGUUGUAAAGCACUUUUGUCCGGAAAGAAAUCCUCUGGGUUAAUACCUCGGGGGGAUGACGGUACCGGAAGAAUAAGCACCGGCUAACUACGUGCCAGCAGCCGCGGUAAUACGUAGGGUGCAAGCGUUAAUCGGAAUUACUGGGCGUAAAGCGUGCGCAAGCGGUUUUGUAAGACGGAUGUGAAAUCCCCCGGGCUUAACCUGGGAACUGCAUUCGUGACUGCAAGGCUAGAGUAUGGCAGAGGGGGGUAGAAUUCCACGUGUAGCAGUGAAAUGCGUAGAGAUGUGGAGGAAUACCGAUGGCGAAGGCAGCCCCCUGGGCCAAUACUGACGCUCAUGCACGAAAGCGUGGGGAGCAAACAGGAUUAGAUACCCUGGUAGUCCACGCCCUAAACGAUGUCAACUAGUUGUUGGGGAUUCAUUUCCUUAGUAACGUAGCUAACGCGUGAAGUUGACCGCCUGGGGAGUACGGUCG